UUUAAAGUGGUACGCGAGCUGGGUUUAGAACGUCGUGAGACAGUUCGGUCCCUAUCUGCCGUGGGCGCUGGAGAACUGAGGGGGGCUGCUCCUAGUACGAGAGGACCGGAGUGGACGCAUCACUGGUGUUCGGGUUGUCAUGCCAAUGGCACUGCCCGGUAGCUAAAUGCGGAAGAGAUAAGUGCUGAAAGCAUCUAAGCACGAAACUUGCCCCGAGAUGAGUUCUCCCUGACUCCUUGAGAGUCCUGAAGGAACGUUGAAGACGACGACGUUGAUAGGCCGGGUGUGUAAGCGCAGCGAUGCGUUGAGCUAACCGGUACUAAUGAACCGUGAGGCUUAACCUUACAACGCCGAAG
rnacentral:rRNA from 1 species